rnacentral:sRNA from 1 species
AAAUAAACCUGAUAAAGCGUAAAGCCCGCAGCGAGGAACGAGUGGGGACUUGAAGCGAUAGCAGGACUUUUA